ensembl:lncRNA
GCCAUUUUUGCUGUCCGAGUUUUCAGGAAUCCAAUCCUCCAUGUGCUCGAGCAACAAAGAGGCACAGAGAGGUUUCACUUCCCCUCGUUUUUCCCCCUCACAAACACUCACCAUAGUUGCUGACAGCUGAACUGCUAUGUGGAAAGAAGUUCAUUUGCUGAUGCAAGAGGAAUACGUUGCUUGUGCAAGCCUGGAUUUCACUGUGAUUUUGAUGGGAGGGUUUCGGUUUCAGUCACUGCGUGCUGAUGGGGAGGCUCGACAGCCUGGAGCUCUUGCUAGUGGUCACUUGCCAGCGAUGAUGCAGCCGGAUUGGGGAGACAGUUGCCAUGGGUGGUUUCACGGGGCCGAGUGGAGUGUUGGAGGGGGGAUGAUUGAUGGCGGCGGGCGGGCAGCUCUGGUGCAACGUGGAGCAGUGAGCAGGCGGCGCCGAGAGAUGAUAGAGGUGGCAUAUGAUAAACGAACAGGUGAUGAAACGAGGCUUUUGAAGGGAAACUAUUUCUGUUCCUACCUCAACCGCUCAUUAUUUACUUUUUGUUUUUAUGUUUCCGCAGAGGCCACCAGCAACCUUCAACUGGUACUGAGUCCACUGUAAUAAGUGGAAUUUCUCACCUGGCCCUUCUAAUAUUUUUCCAAACUUUAAGUAAAAACUAUGAAAAGAUUCUCACAUAAAAACACCAAACCCAUUUUUACAAGACUGGACCUCACUGACAACACAGUUUCUGUUCAAUCAUUCUUUGCUUCUUCAGAUCCUCUUGAUUGCGGAAUAAAUCUGCCCGGGCUUUGCCUGUGCUCUGCUCUGCAUAGUCCAUUAAUAUUCCAAUCAUCCUCUAUAUCAGUUAAAGGGGGAAAGACAGACUCCUCUUCAUCUCCCAAAACACCAGCUGUGCAGAGCCGUGAGACAUCCACACAUGCACACUGAGCUGUAAACAGAGCACUGCAGACACAUUAAUAGAUUUAUACAUGCAGGCAAACUUAUAUAAUUGAGGAGUUUGCUAGGCAUUGGCAUCAAUUUUGCAUGGGGCUCAUCCUGCAUGAUUCACAACGUGCACAGCCUCUUGUUCUUUCCUUACAUGUAUUCACAAAUUUCAACUCGAGGCACCUGCACACUAGUGGAAAGAGAGAAAGUCGAGAGGAAGUGAGUUGCUUCAUGGGCAGAUAUCAUCUCCUGCAGUCAGAUGGGUGUUGAUAAGCUGCUGGCACCCCCAGCAGUCCCCCCUUUCAUAUCCUACUCAUCCUCCUGCCAACCCAUCAUUUCUCAGAGCCUGUCCGUCACUCACGCUCCAUGCUAUCCUUGUGUUUUCAACUCUCAAACUCGAGAACUGCAUUGAAGCAGUAGUUUUGCCCUGUACCCCUGGGCUUUGCUGGUCCCCGCUCCUCUAAAGCGAUUAGUCACUCAGGCAUCGAAUGGACCAAGAGUCUGGAAGCUUCUGAUAGAGGACCGCUCGCAGCCCGAGUGACAAACUCAAGGACGUUUUCGUGUUGCCGUUGCUGUUUGUUGCAGUUGUUUAUGUGGACGGCUGCGUGAGAGUGUCCAGCUCCUGGGGGCCGUGUCGAGGCAGCGGGCCAUGGUAAUUACAUGCCACUCGUCACAGUGCCUUCUCUCUCUGCUCUGACCAGCGCCAGCAAAAAGCUAACAGCUUGUGUGUUAUCUUCGUAAUGAUUCACCCAUCGGUUCACAUGGACACAGCACUUUCCGGUCUCCCUGCACACAAACACUCAUCCCAUGCUCUUGCACAAAUUUAACCAACAGCACACGUCGAUUGUGCUGUACAUACGUGGAUGUGGUCUCGAAUGUGCAGCUCAGAGUCACAAGUGUUGGGCUCCGUUUCCUGACUGAAUUCUUAUUUUCUGAACUCCAGUGCCUCAUUUAGUCAUAUUUAGAAUCAGCAAGGCAAAUCUGAAAUGCAAACCCAUCCGAGUGCAUCUUAACACACACAGGGUAAAUUAGAAAGGUUGCUGAGCAAUACAGUGGGUUACCUUGUUUCCCAGGAAACAACAAAAUCCAAUUAAAGGAACCCAUGAACCAUAGCAACAUGUGGUAAACACAGCAUGGCACCGCCGCAAGGUUGUUAUUCAAUCAUCAGAAGUAAAACAAACAAUUACUUGUAGAAUGACCCUAAUGCGGGAACAAAUGAGAAUUUAUGCAUGAGGAAGAGUGGGUUGGGAAUGGAAGUGAUUCAUCCCUCAUGCACGUCAGCAAGAGGCUGCUCGAGCUCCUUAUUCACAAGAAUAAUGAUAUUACUGAUGAGACAAGCAUUGUGAGGAAUUUAUUAUUUUGCUGUCUAAAUGUCUUUCAUGUUCUGGACAAAGCAUUUCCAAUGAUUUUACAUUUCAAAGAGAACCCACCGUAUUGUUCUUAUCAGGAUUGAUGGAGGUAUGUUACCCAUGCUAAUUAACUGUUGCUAAUUUUGUGUUUGAAUAAAUUUGAAUCCAAAGGGCGGUUUCUUAGAGCUGAGUCAUUUUUCAUGAGGCUUCGACUAUUUUAUUUUGACAAUAUUUUAUCUUUGAAUGUAAAGGAAGUCGUAACACCUGAAGAAUCAGCAGAUAGGAAUUCACACAUCCCCCGUCUCUUGAAUUACAUCGUGAAUAUAGAUCCCCAACACAAGCGGAUCCGUAUUCUCGUCACGGGCUGUGGCGGUGAUGAGGAAUCACUAUGAAUAGGAGUCAUUGUAAUUUUGUGGAGGAAUCACAUUUCAAAGCUGGCUCACUCUUCCAGUUGCCAUGGCAACAGUCUAACAGAGCGAGCGUAGGAUGGCUGGAUGGGCGGACGAUCAGACUAUUGCAGGAAAAAAUACUGCAGAUGUUGCUGACACUAUAUUUUAAUCCCUGUCAUUUAACAAUCAUAAGCAGAAUACAAACAUUUAAUAAGUGGUUUGUCACUAUUUGAUAUGGUUGUAAGCAGAUUUUAAAUAUAGAUUAAAAAAACAUAUAUUUUUUUAUGUGUGUCUGCAAUUAAUUGAGACAUCAGAAGUAAUUAUAUGCCUGAUCACAACCCUUCAGAUCUUAAGUGGAGAACAGCAUGACGAAGUGGCUGCAAAGGAAUUAACAGAGUAAAAGCUAAAUUAGCUUCUGAGCAUUACGCACGGCCACGUGUUCAGGCUGUCCUCCUGUGCCUCCGGAGUUCUGAAUCAUCACAUUAUGUUUAAGGUCCCAUAUUAUCAAUUUCCUCAAAAGUAACUCUCAUUACAACUCAUAAAUGCUAGUUCAGUAUACACAGUAACUGUAAGUCAUUCCCAUAAUUAACAGUAAGUUUAUUGGGGAUAGAGUUAGUGUUAAUGUUUAUAUAAUUACAGCCAAGCAUUCAUUAACUUUUUAUACACCAGUUGUGGAUACUAUAUUAAAAUAGUUAUUAAUGACAGACAUGAAUAAACAAUAAUAACAUUAGAAUGUGAUAUAAACCAUCAAUUAAUAGAUUAUAUGCUGAUUUCACUGUAUUCGUCUUGUGUUUUAUUUAAAUAUUAUAGAUAUGGUAUACUGUCGAAUACAUUUGGGAGUGGAACACUUUAAAAAGAGGCUUUAAAGUACUGGUGAGCCAAUAUCUUGUGAAACUGCUGCACACAAACCACGUCACGAUUCCCUUUACAUAUUUUCUCUUCCUGGCUGAUAGCAUCACUCGUGAGUUAGCAGACAGAUGGCCUGUGCACAUCUACAGCUGACUCCGGGUUACUGGUAGCGGAGGCUCUGCUCUCCACUACAGGCUGUUAAUCAUGCUGUUCUGAGCUGCAGCCUUUCCACUGAUAUACAACGUUUAGCAGAAUGGCAGCACGAUGAUUAAAUCUUGUGUUGCAGAAAUGUUGCAUGGAGUACGAGAUUGCCUGUGUGCAGCUGAGCCGAUGCUGGAUGUGAUUGAGUUGUUGUUGUGAUUGGAAAAUACUCCCCUCCCCCAAUCACUCCCCUGGCAUCUCCCCCAUCUUGAGACUGGUUGUGACUUGUUACCAUGGCGAUAGCGGGCCUUUUUUUUACCUGCUUAUAAGGGGAAGGAGGGGAGCUCGUGACUUCGAAGCUUGGGUUACUAGCCACAGUGGAUGGAGGGAGGUCCAGUGGGGGGAAGGGGGGACUUCACACAAAGGCUGCACUGUGUUCUGCACAUCCAUUCGCUGCUCGAGCGGCCAGGGAGGGAAACAAGAUCAAUGGCAUGAAGUAGUUGAUUAGAGUAACUCAAUAUUACGACUUAAGUUUCCCGAGAUGCUUUUAGAGGCAGCGAGGAGCCGCCAUAUCAGGCCCCGCUCUGCCUAUCGCUCAUGUAAGCAGACAGAAUCAUUGCCAAGCUCCACACACCAUGAAUAAACUGCUAAAUGUGGGAUUGACUUCAUCGCUCCCAACGGGAAUCCUAUAGUGACACAUAUUUACCUUAGCCUCAUGCUGCAAUCUGGAGCUUACCCUGAAAGGGAGCAACAGAGUUUAAUGUGCUUUCCCCAGAGAUCUGAAGUAGCUGUCAUUAAUUGUACACAUAGAAAUUGCUACGUGCCACAGCCGUCAAACAAACCAUCUUUAGUGUUUUCUGUCAUUAGACUCACUAAUUUGUCAAUCAUUCUUUUGAGGAUCUGCAGGAUGUACCUUGCCCUGACUAGUCAGACUUCAAGGCCUCCUUCGGUUUAUUUACACACUGACUGGCUAUGGAGAGGCUGCUUUACGCAGAGAAGUAAUUAAUUUUUGACUAAUCGUGUGCCAGUUGCUUGACAACAGCAAUUACAUCUUAAUGAGUGAGAAGCUUAGUGUCAAAUGAUUGAGAUGCAGCUGGGAUUGUUGCUAAAUAGCUUUUAAGCCCUUAGAAAAGC